rnacentral:rRNA from 1 species
GAUGAACGCUGGCGGCGUGCCUAAUACAUGCAGGUCGAGCGAACAGACGAGGAGCUUGCUCCUCUGACGUUAGCGGCGGACGGGUGAGUAACACGUGGAUAACCUACCUAUAAGACUGGGAUAACUUCGGGAAACCGGAGCUAAUACCGGAUAAUAUAUUGAACCGCAUGGUUCAAUAGUGAAAGACGGUUUUGCUGUCACUUAUAGAUGGAUCCGCGCCGCAUUAGCUAGUUGGUAAGGUAACGGCUUACCAAGGCAACGAUGCGUAGCCGACCUGAGAGGGUGAUCGGCCACACUGGAACUGAGACACGGUCCAGACUCCUACGGGGGGCAGCAGUAGGGAAUCUUCCGCAAUGGGCGAAAGCCUGACGGAGCAACGCCGCGUGAGUGAUGAAGGUCUUCGGAUCGUAAAACUCUGUUAUUAGGGAAGAACAAAUGUGUAAGUAACUAUGCACGUCUUGACGGUACCUAAUCAGAAAGCCACGGCUAACUACGUG